GACGAACGCUGGCGGCGUGCUUAACACAUGCAAGUCGAACGGAAAGGCCCUGCUUUUGUGGGGUGCUCGAGUGGCGAACGGGCGAGUAACACGUGAGUAACCUGCCCUUGACUUUGGGAUAACUUCAGGAAACUGGGGCUAAUACCGGAUAAGAGCUCCUGCUGCAUGGUGGGGGUUGGAAAGUUUCGGCGGUUGGGGAUGGACUCGCGGCUUAUCAGCUUGUUGGUGGGGUAGUGGCUUACCAAGGCUUUGACGGGUAGCCGGCCUGAGAGGGUGACCGGCCACAUUGGGACUGAGAUACGGCCCAGACUCCUACGGGAGGCAGCAGUGGGGAAUAUUGCACAAUGGGCGGAAGCCUGAUGCAGCAACGCCGCGUGCGGGAUGACGGCCUUCGGGUUGUAAACCGCUUUCGCCUGUGACGAAGCGUGAGUGACGGUAAUGGGUAAAGAAGCACCGGCUAACUACGUG
rnacentral:rRNA from 1 species